rnacentral:lncRNA from 1 species
AUUUGUAUGCAUUUCCCAUAGGGUCCUAUGUUAAACUAAGUCCCCGGCUGGCGGCCAUCUUGGAUGAUGGAUCGGCAACAAAGUAACAACACUUGGUCAGCACCUCAUAAGGAACAUUCAUGCCAUGUUUGGUUUCAUUCCAUUCAAUGGUUCUCUAAAAGAAGUCAUUUGUAUGCAUUUCCCAUAGCGUCCUAUGUUAAACUAAGUCCCCCGCUGGCGGCCAUCUUGGAUGAUGGAUCGGCUACAAAGUAACAACACUUGGUCAGCACCUCAUAAGGAACAUUCAUGCCAUGGUUGGUUCCAUUCCAUUCAGUGGUUCUCUAGAAGAAGUUCAAAAUGUAAAUUGUUAACGACGACGACGACGGACGACGGACGCCAAGUGGUGAGAAAAGCUCACUUGGCCCUUCGGGCCAGGUGAGCUAAAAA